rnacentral:rRNA from 1 species
GACGAACGCUGGCGGCGUGCUUAACACAUGCAAGUCGAACGGAAAGACCCUGCUUUUGUGGGGUGCUCGAGUGGCGAACGGGUGAGUAACACGUGAGUAACCUGCCCUUGACUUUGGGAUAACUUCAGGAAACUGGGGCUAAUACCGGAUAGGAGCUCCUGCUGCAUGGUGGGGGUUGGAAAGUUUCGGCGGUUGGGGAUGGACUCGCGGCUUAUCAGCUUGUUGGUGGGGUAGUGGCUUACCAAGGCUUUGACGGGUAGCCGGCCUGAGAGGGUGACCGGCCACAUUGGGACUGAGAUACGGCCCAGACUCCUACGGGAGGCAGCAGUGGGGAAUAUUGCACAAUGGGCGGAAGCCUGAUGCAGCAACGCCGCGUACGGGAUGACGGCCUUCGGGUUGUAAACCGCUUUCGCCUGUGACGAAGCGUGAGUGACGGUAAUGGGUAAAGAAGCACCGGCUAACUACGUG